rnacentral:rRNA from 1 species
ACUCCUACGGGAGGCAGCAGUGGGGAAUUUUCCGCAAUGGGCGAAAGCCUGACGGAGCAAGACCGCGUGCGGGAGGAAGGUCUAUUGAUUGUAAACCGCUUUUGAUAGGGAAGAAGAUCUGACGGUACCUAUCGAAUCAGCAUCGGCUAACUCCGUGCCAGCAGCCGCGGUAAUACGGGGGAUGCAAGCGUUAUCCGGAAUUAUUGGGCGUAAAGCGUCCGUAGGUGGUUUUAAAAGUCUGUUGUCAAAUCGCGAGGCUUAACCUCGUACAGGCAGUGGAAACUAUAAGACUAGAGUGCGGUAGGGGUAGAGGGAAUUUCCAGUGUAGCGGUGAAAUGCGUAGAUAUUGGAAAGAACACCGGUGGCGAAGGCGCUCUACUGGGCCUGCACUGACACUGA